rnacentral:rRNA from 1 species
GACGAACGCUGGCGGCGUGCUUAACACAUGCAAGUCGAACGGUGAAGCGCCUUCCUUUUUGGUGGGUGUGGAUGAGUGGCGAACGGGUGAGUAACACGUGAGUAACCUGCCCCCUUCUUCUGGAUAACCGCAUGAAAGUGUGGCUAAUACGGGAUAUUCUGGGUCUGUCGCAUGAUGGGUCUGGGAAAGAUAUUGUUUCGGUGGGGGAUGGGCUCGCGGCCUAUCAGCUUGUUGGUGGGGUGAUGGCCUACCAAGGCGGUGACGGGUAGCCGGCCUGAGAGGGUGGACGGUCACACUGGGACUGAGACACGGCCCAGACUCCUACGGGAGGCAGCAGUGGGGAAUAUUGCACAAUGGGCGCAAGCCUGAUGCAGAGACGCCGCGUGAGGGAUGGAGGCCUUCGGGUUGUGAACCUCUUUCGCCAGUGAAGCAGGCCUGCCUCGUUUGUGGGUGGGUUGACGGUAGCUGGAUAAGAAGCGCCGGCUAACUACGU